AGAGUUUGAUCCUGGCUCAGAGCGAACGCUGGCGGCAGGCUUAACACAUGCAAGUCGAACGGGCACCUUCGGGUGUCAGUGGCAGACGGGUGAGUAACACGUGGGAACGUACCCUUCGGUUCGGAAUAACUCAGGGAAACUUGAGCUAAUACCGGAUACGCCCUUUUGGGGAAAGGUUUACUGCCGAAGGAUCGGCCCGCGUCUGAUUAGCUUGUUGGUGGGGUAACGGCCUACCAAGGCGACGAUCAGUAGCUGGUCUGAGAGGAUGAUCAGCCACACUGGGACUGAGACACGGCCCAGACUCCUACGGGAGGCAGCAGUGGGGAAUAUUGGACAAUGGGCGCAAGCCUGAUCCAGCCAUGCCGCGUGAGUGAUGAAGGCCUUAGGGUUGUAAAGCUCUUUUGUCCGGGACGAUAAUGACGGUACCGGAAGAAUAAGCCCCGGCUAACUUCGUGCCAGCAGCCGCGGUAAUAC
rnacentral:rRNA from 1 species